AUCCUUUUGUAGUUUGUAAGUGUGAUGAUUGGGAUUUCAUGCUCAUGUGUUGAGAUGUGCCUCUCUCAAACUUUGUUAAAAUGUCAGCACAUUACCCAUCUGAUG